AGAUAGGUGAGUCCGAGCGAUGAUUUCGCCGGCGAUUUCCACGGGUGGCUCUCUCUCUCUCUACCGCUGCUCGAUCAAGAAGGGAAAUGAAGAAUGGAGAAGGCGAAGAUGGAUAUGGUGCAUCAAAUUGAGAAGAUGUGGAUGGAGAUGGAGUUGAAGAGGAUGGAGAUGUUACUUGAGUCUGAGCAGAGGAUUGUCGAGGCAUUUGCUCAGGCGACAUCCGAGAGAAGUGCCAAACUGGCGAAAAGAGAUUCGACUAUGCCGGGUUGAAAUCAAGAACUGUAGUAUGGUUGAGCAGUGGAAGUUUUGUCAUGAAUU
rnacentral:lncRNA from 1 species